rnacentral:rRNA from 1 species
AUUGAACGCUGGCGGCAUGCCUUACACAUGCAAGUCGAACGGUAACAGGUCUUCGGAUGCUGACGAGUGGCGAACGGGUGAGUAAUACAUCGGAACGUGCCUAGUAGUGGGGGAUAACUACUCGAAAGAGUGGCUAAUACCGCAUGAGAUCUACGGAUGAAAGCAGGGGAUCGCAAGACCUUGUGCUACUAGAGCGGCCGAGGGCAGAUUAGGUAGUUGGUGGGAUAAAAGCUUACCAAGCCGACGAUCUGUAGCUGGUCUGAGAGGACGAUCAGCAACACGGGGACUGAGACACGGCCCAGACUCCUACGGGAGGCAGCAGUGGGGAAUUUUGGACAAUGGGCGCAAGCCUGAUCCAGCAAUGCCGCGUGAAGGAUGAGGGCCUUCGGGUUGUAAACUGCUUUUGUACGGAACGAAAAGCCCCGGGUUAAUACCCUGGGGCCAUGACGGUACCGUAAGAAUAAGUACCGGCUAACUACGUGCCAGCCGCCGCCGUAA